rnacentral:rRNA from 1 species
UACGGGGGGAGCUAGCGUUGUUCGGAUAUACUGGGCGUAAAGCGCACGUAGCGGCGCCGUAAGUCAGGCGUGAAAGGCCUGGGCUCAACCCGGGAAUUGCGCUUGAGACUGGGCUGGCUUGAGUGCGGGAGAGGAUGGUGGAAUUCCCAGUGUAGAGUGAAAUUCGUAGAUAUUGGGAAGAACACCGGUGGUGUAGACGGCUUUCUGGACCGUAACUGACGCUAGACACGAAACGUGGGUAGCAAACAGG